rnacentral:tRNA from 1 species
GGGCCUAUAGCUCAGCGGUAGAGCCACCGGCUCAUAACCGGCUGGUCCCUGGUUCGAUCCCAGGUGGGCCCACCA